rnacentral:rRNA from 1 species
UUGAUCCUGGCUCMAGGAUGAACGCUAGCUACAGGCUUAACACAUGCAAGUCGUGGGCAGCAUCGGAGAAGCUUCGGCUUAUCCGGAUGGCGACCGGCGAAUGGGUGAGUAACACGUAUCCAACCUGCCGCCCAGUGAGGAAUAGGCUCCCGAAAGGGAAAUUAAUGCCCCAUGAGGUGUGUUUCUGACAUCAGAGACAUACGAAAGCCGCGAGGCGCUGGGUGAUGGGGAUGCGUCCGAUUAGCUUGUUGGCGGGGUAACGGCCCACCAAGGCGACGAUCGGUAGGGGUUCUGAGAGGAAGGUCCCCCACAUUGGAACUGAGACACGGUCCAAACUCCUACGGGAGGCAGCAGUGAGGAAUAUUGGUCAAUGGCCGCGAGGCUGAACCAGCCAAGUAGCGUGCAGGAAGAAGGCCCUAUGGGUUGUAAACUGCUUUWRCAGGGGAAUAAAGUAUGCCACGUGUGGUGUUUUGCAUGUACCCUGCGAAUAAGGAUCGGCUAAUUCCGUGCCAGCAGCCGCGGUAAUACGGAAGAUCCGAGCGUUAUCCGGAUUUAUUGGGUUUAAAGGGAGCGUAGGCGGAAUGCUAAGUCAGUUGUGAAAUACUGCGGCUCAACCGUAGAAUUGCAGUUGAAACUGGCAUUCUUGAGUGUACAUAAGGAUGGUGGAAUUUGUGGUGUAGCGGUGAAAUGCAUAGAUAUCACGAAGAACUCCGAUUGCGAAGGCAGCCAUCUGGGUUACGACUGACGCUGAGGCUCGMWMUUUYKGUAUCAAACAGGAUUAGAUACCCUAUAGUCCGCACAG